rfam:Gossypium hirsutum cultivar TM-1 unplaced genomic scaffold scaffold3460.1, whole genome shotgun sequence
GCCCUUCUAACUCAGUGGUAGAGUAACGCCAUGGUAAGGCGUAAGUCAUCGGUUCAAAUCCUUGUAAGGUA